AGGCAACUGUGAGGGUCAUGUGGCUUCAGA
rnacentral:piRNA from 1 species